AGGCAGAACGCGAACGCCAUCACCGUCGUCACAACCCGUGCCUCAAGGAACAGAGAACUUCAAAGACCAUGCUGAGCACCAAAUCAAAAACAAGUUUAAAGUAAGAGCUACUACAACUGAACUGGAGCACAGGGAAUAACUACAAUCCAGAAAGUAUCCUUCGUGGAGACUAGAAACGCUUGCACGAAGGGCGGUUGACGCAGCAUGGGCUGUGCUCCUAGCCUGGGACCCAGGUCGUGGCUGUCCGUGUCCCUGGGGCUGCGUACACUCAGAGAUUUAGAACAGUUGGAAAUUUUGUAAUGGGUUACACCACCCACUUUUAUAGUAGCAUUUGAAAUCCUCAGAUUACCCACUUAGGGCAUAUAUUUUUACCACGCUUAUUUUUUUCUUAGUGUGUACUCUGCAGUCCACAAAGUACGGUGUAUAACCUGUACAUUCUAUGUAUUUUGGGCCAUAUGAAGCAAAUAGGAAUCUUAAAUUGUAGGGUUUUUGUUUGUUUAGAAGGGUCGCACGUUUGCAUUUAUGGUGGACUGUUUUGUUGAACUGUGGGUUCUGGUCUGGAAGAAUGGUCUUGUAUUUGGGUGAUGCCCCUGCAUAGGGAAAAGACAUAGCCAGCUUCACGUUUCUCAGAAAUUAUUGGUAAUGAAAACUUCGAGGGCACUCUUCAGAAUUUUCUGCUUUUUUUAUAUGUAAAAUAGGUUCUUUUUAAAUAGGAUUAAAAGGUGACUUAGCUUUUCAA
rnacentral:lncRNA from 1 species